rnacentral:rRNA from 1 species
AACGAACGCUGGCGGCAUGCCUAACACAUGCAAGUCGAGCGCCGUAGCAAUACGGAGCGGCGCACGGGUGAGUAACGCGUGGGAACCUGCCCAGAGGUUCGGGACAACCGCGGGAAACUGCGGCUGAUACCGGAUGAUACCUGAGGGUCAAAGAUUUAUCGCCUUUGGAGGGGCCCGCGUCAGAUUAGGUAGUUGGUGGGGUAACGGCCUACCAAGCCUGUGAUCUGUAGCUGGUCUGAGAGGAUGACCAGCCACACUGGGACUGAGACACGGCCCAGACUCCUACGGGAGGCAGCAGUGGGGAGUAUUGGACAAUGGGGGCAACCCUGAUCCAGCAAUGCCGCGUGGGUGAUGAAGGCCUUCGGGUUGUAAAGCCCUUUCGGCGGGGACGAUGAUGACGGUACCCGCAGAAGAAGCCCCGGCUAACUUCGUGCCAGCAGCCGCCGUAAUAC